GCCUGGGUGGCUCAGAUGGUUAGGCGUCCGACUUCAGCUCAGGUCAUGAUCUCAUGGUUCAUGGGUUCGAGUCCCAUGUCGGGCU
rfam:Felis catus isolate Cinnamon breed Abyssinian chromosome C2, whole genome shotgun sequence.